rnacentral:rRNA from 1 species
GCUUACGGCCAUACCACCCUGAGCACGCCCGAUCUCGUCUGAUCUCGGAAGCUAAGCAGGGUUGGGCUUGGUUAGUACUCGGAUGUAGACUGCCUGGAAUACCAGGUGCUGUAAGCU